rnacentral:rRNA from 1 species
UACGAAGGGGGCUAGCGUUGCUCGGAAUCACUGGGCGUAAAGCGCACGUAGGCGGAUUGUUAAGUCAGGGGUGAAAUCCUGGAGCUCAACUCCAGAACUGCCUUUGAUACUGGCGAUCUUGAGUCCGGGAGAGGUGAGUGGAACUCCGAGUGUAGAGGUGAAAUUCGUAGAUAUUGGGAAGAACACCAGUGGCGAAGGCGGCUAACUGGUCCGGUACUGACGCUGAGGUGCGAAAGCGUGGGGAGCAAACAGG